UACGUAGGGUGCAAGCGUUGUCCGGAAUUAUUGGGCGUAAAGAGCUCGUAGGCGGUCUGUCGCGUCUGCUGUGAAAACUCGGGGCUUAACCCCGGGCCUGCAGUGGGUACGGGCAGACUAGAGUGCGGUAGGGGAGACUGGAAUUCCUGGUGUAGCGGUGAAAUGCGCAGAUAUCAGGAGGAACACCGGUGGCGAAGGCGGGUCUCUGGGCCGUAACUGACGCUGAGAAGCGAAAGCGUGGGUAGCGAACAGG
rnacentral:rRNA from 1 species